AGUGAACGCUGGCGGUAGGCCUAACACAUGCAAGUCGAACGGCAGCACAGUAAGAGCUUGCUCUUACGGGUGGCGAGUGGCGGACGGGUGAGGAAUAUAUCGGAAUCUACUUUUUCGUGGGGGAUAACGUAGGGAAACUUACGCUAAUACCGCAUACGACCUACGGGUGAAAGCAGGGGAUCUUCGGACCUUGCGCGAUUGAAUGAGCCGAUGUUGGAUUAGCUAGUUGGCGGGGUAAAGGCCCACCAAGGCGACGAUCCGUAGCUGGUCUGAGAGGAUGAUCAGCCACACGAGAACUGAGACACGGUCCAGACGCCUACGGGAGGCAGCAGUGGGGAAUAGUGGGCAAUGGGCGCAAGCCUGAUCCAGCCAGACCGCGUGGGUGAAGAAGGCCUUCGGGUUGUAAAGCCCUUUUGUUGGGAAAGAAAAGCAGCAGGUUAAUACCCCGCUGUUCUGACGGUACCCAAAGAAUAAGCACCGGCUAACUUCGUG
rnacentral:rRNA from 1 species